rnacentral:siRNA from 1 species
UAGAUUCGUGGUAUAGCCU